rnacentral:rRNA from 1 species
GAUGAACGCUGGCGGCGUGCCUAAUACAUGCAAGUAGAACGCUGAAGCUUGGUGCUUGCACCGAGCGGAUGAGUUGCGAACGGGUGAGUAACGCGUAGGUAACCUGCCUCUUAGCGGGGGAUAACUAUUGGAAACGAUAGCUAAUACCGCAUAAAAGUCGAUAUCGCAUGAUGUUGAUUUGAAAGGUGCAAUUGCAUCACUAAGAGAUGGACCUGCGUUGUAUUAGCUAGUUGGUGAGGUAACGGCUCACCAAGGCGACGAUACAUAGCCGACCUGAGAGGGUGAUCGGCCACACUGGGACUGAGACACGGCCCAGACUCCUACGGGAGGCAGCAGUAGGGAAUCUUCGGCAAUGGGGGCAACCCUGACCGAGCAACGCCGCGUGAGUGAAGAAGGUUUUCGGAUCGUAAAGCUCUGUUGUAAGAGAAGAACGAGUGUGAGAGUGGAAAGUUCACACUGGGACG